GGGCCCGCACAAGCGGUGGAGCAUGUGGUUUAAUUCGAUGAUACGCGAGGAACCUUACCAGGGCUUAAAUGUAAGUUGCAUUAGUUAGAGAUAACUAUUUCUUCGGACCACUUACAAGGUGCUGCAUGGUUGUCGUCAGCUCGUGCCGUGAGGUGUCAGGUUAAGUCCUAUAACGAGCGCAACCCCUGUUGUUAGUUGCCAGCGAUUCAAGUCGGGAACUCUAACAAGACUGCCGGUGCAAACCGUGAGGAAGGUGGGGAUGACGUCAAAUCAUCACGGCCCUUACGUCCUGGGCUACACACGUGCUACAAUGGUAGGGACAGAGAGCAGCCACUACGCGAGUAGGAG
rnacentral:rRNA from 1 species